AUUGAACGCUGGCGGCAUGCCUUACACAUGCAAGUCGAACGGUAACGGGCCUUCGGGUGCCGCCGAGUGGCGAACGGGGGAGUAAUACACCGGAACGUGCCCGAUCGCGGGGGAUAACGAGGCGAAAGCUUUGCUAAUACCGCAUACGAUAUACGGAAGAAAGCAGGGGUCCGCAAGGCCUUGCGCGGACGGAGCGGCCGAUGGCAGAUUAGGUAGUGUGUGGGAUAAAAGGUUACCAAGACGACGAUCUGUAGCAGGUCUGAGGGGAUGAGCAGCCACACGGGCACUGAGGCUCGGCCGCGACUCCGACGGGAGGCCGCAGCGCGGACUUUUGGACAAGGGAGGCAAGCCUGAUCCAGCCAUGCCGCGUGCAGGCUGAAGGCCUUCGGGUUGUAAACUGCUUUUGUACGGAAGGAAAAGCCUUCUUUUAAUACAGGAGGGUCAUGACGGUACCGGAAGAAUAAGCACCGGCUAACUACGUG
rnacentral:rRNA from 1 species